rnacentral:rRNA from 1 species
UACGAAGGGUGCAAGCGUUAAUCGGAAUUACUGGGCGUAAAGGGUGCGUAGGCGGUUCGUUAAGUCUGUCGUGAAAGCCCCGGGCUCAACCUGGGAAUGGCAGUGGAUACUGGCGAGCUAGAGUGUGAUAGAGGAUGGUGGAAUUCCCGGUGUAGCGGUGAAAUGCGUAGAGAUCGGGAGGAACAUCAGUGGCGAAGGCGGCCAUCUGGAUCAACACUGACGCUGAGGCACGAAAGCGUGGGGAGCAAACAGG